rnacentral:rRNA from 1 species
CAGGCCUAACACAUGCAAGUCGAGCGGUAACAGAUCCAGCUUGCUGGAUGCUGACGAGCGGCGGACGGGUGAGUAACGCAUAGGAAUUUACCCGAUAGUGGGGGAUAACCUGGGGAAACUCAGGCUAAUACCGCAUACGUCCUACGGGAGAAAGGGGGCUUUGGCUCCCGCUAUCGGAUGAGCCUAUGCCGGAUUAGCUGGUUGGUGAGGUAAUGGCUCACCAAGGCGACGAUCCGUAGCUGGUCUGAGAGGAUGAUCAGCCACAUCGGGACUGAGACACGGCCCGAACUCCUACGGGAGGCAGCAGUGGGGAAUAUUGGACAAUGGGGGCAACCCUGAUCCAGCCAUGCCGCGUGUGUGAAGAAGGCCCUCGGGUUGUAAAGCACUUUCAGCGAGGAAGAACGCCUGGCGGUUAAUACCCGCCAGGAAAGACAUCACUCGCAGAAGAAGCACCGGCUAACUCCGUGCCAGCAGCCGCGGUAAUACGGAGGGUGCAAGCGUUAAUCGGAAUUACUGGGCGUAAAGCGCGCGUAGGUGGCUUGAUAAGCCGGUUGUGAAAGCCCCGGGCUCAACCUGGGAACGGCAUCCGGAACUGUCAGGCUAGAGUGCAGGAGAGGAAGGUAGAAUUCCCGGUGUAGCGGUGAAAUGCGUAGAGAUCGGGAGGAAUACCAGUGGCGAAGGCGGCCUUCUGGGCUGACACUGACACUGAGGUGCGAAAGCGUGGGUAGCAAACAGGAUUAGAUACCCUGGUAGUCCACGCCGUAAACGAUGUCGACCAGCCGUUGGGUGCCUAGCGCACUUUGUGGCGAAGUUAACGCGAUAAGUCGACCGCCUGGGGAGUCGGCCGCAAGGUUAAAAC